rnacentral:rRNA from 1 species
AUUCCAGCUCCAAUAGCGUAUAUUAAAGUUGUUGCGGUUAAAAAGCUCGUAGUUGGAGUUCUGCCAGGUGGCGCUCGUCCGCCCAAGUGGUGUGUACAGGGCGUGCAUCUGGCCCUUUCAAGGGGAACGUGUCUGCACUUCAUUGUGUGGUGCGAGAUCCUUGACUUUUACUUUGAGGAAAUAAGAGUGUUCCAAGCAGGCUCUCGUCGUGCAUAGCUCAGCAUGGAAUAAUAGCAUUGGACUUCGUUUCUACGCUGUUGGUUGCAAGAAGCGAGAUAAUGAUGAAUAAGGACAGUUGGGGGUAUUUGUAUUCCAUAGUCAGAGGUGAAAUUCUUGGAUUUAUGGAAGACAAACUAAUGCGAAAGCAUCUACCAAGGAUGUUUUCAUCA